AUAGAUUGUUUUAGUAGGGACAAUUUUUUAUCAAAUUUUACUUUAAAAAACCCUGUUGUAUAAUUUGUAUUGGACGAGAGGGAGCAAUUGAGAUGACAUCAUAAUUUGUUUUGUCCAAAACUCCAAAAUGGGCGGACUUGAAAGAGAUUGAAUUCCGCAACCUAGCUUCAAUAAAUACUAGUGGUAUGUUGAAUCCCAAUCUGCACACACAGUAUAUAAGAGUGUUUACAAACUGUUUCCUUUCUCAAACAUUCUAAGUCCCAUUUCUUUGUCUCAUUCACUACCAUGUAAGUCCUUCUUAGAUCUCUCCAUUAUCAAUUAAUUAGUAUUACCUUUUGCUAUAUUUUAUGUUAGCUUUUAUAUUUAAUAAUGUAACAAUCAAAAAGUUUGAAAAAGGAAUUUAGAUUUUAAAGUACUUUACUCAUGCUUCUUUGAGUUUGUGUACCAGAUUACUCUUACUCUUGUUCAUUUUUAGAAGGGUUAAACAUGUUUGGUUUUUAAUAUCCAUAAAACAUCUAUUAGUACUUUUUUUACAUGGUGGUGUCUAUGUGAAUGGUAAACAGCAAUUAAUCCANNN
rnacentral:lncRNA from 1 species